rnacentral:rRNA from 1 species
UACGUAGGGGGCUAGCGUUGUCCGGAAUCAUUGGGCGUAAAGCGCGUGUAGGCGGCCCGUUAAGUCCGCUGUGAAAGUCCAGGGCUCAACCCUGGGAUGCCGGUGGAUACUGUCGGGCUCGAGUCCGGAAGAGGCGAGUGGAAUUCCUGGUGUAGCGGUGAAAUGCGCAGAUAUCAGGAAGAACACCAGUGGCGAAGGCAGCUCUCUGGGACGGUACUGACGCUGAGACGCGAAAGCGUGGGGAGCGAACAGG